rnacentral:rRNA from 1 species
AUUGAACGCUGGCGGCAUGCCUUACACAUGCAAGUCGAACGGUAACGGGCCUUCGGGUGCCGACGAGUGGCGAACGGGUGAGUAAUGCAUCGGAACGUACCUUUCAGUGGGGGAUAACGUAGCGAAAGUUACGCUAAUACCGCAUAUUCUGUGAGCAGGAAAGCAGGGGAUCGCAAGACCUUGCGCUGAUUGAGCGGCCGAUGUCAGAUUAGCUAGUUGGUGAGGUAAAGGCUCACCAAGGCGACGAUCUGUAGCGGGUCUGAGAGGAUGAUGCGCCACACUGGAACUGAGACACGGUCCAGACUCCUACGGGAGGCAGCAGUGGGGAAUUUUGGACAAUGGGGGCAACCCUGAUCCAGCCAUGCCGCGUGAGUGAAGAAGGCCUUCGGGUUGUAAAGCUCUUUCGGCCGGGAAGAAAUCGUAUGGGUUAAUACCCUGUGCGGAUGACGGUACCGGCAUAAGAAGCACCGGCUAACUACGUGCCAGCCGCCGCGGUAAUAC